CCUACGGGUGGCAGCAGUGGGGAAUAUUGGGCAAUGGGCGCAAGCCUGACCCAGCAACGCCGCGUGAAGGAUGAAGGUUUUCGGAUUGUAAACUUCUGUCGCGAGGGACGAAGAAUGACGGUACCUGUCGAAUAAGCCACGGCUAACUACGUGCCAGCAGCCGCGGUAAUACGUAGGUGGCAAGCGUUGUCCGGAUUUACUGGGUGUAAAGGGCGUGUAGCCGGGCUGACAAGUCAGAUGUGAAAUCCGGGGGCUCAACCCCCGAACUGCAUUUGAAACUGUUGGUCUUGAGUAUCGGAGAGGCAGGCGGAAUUCCUAGUGUAGCGGUGAAAUGCGUAGAUAUUAGGAGGAACACCAGUGGCGAAGGCGGCCUGCUGGACGACAACUGACGGUGAGGCGCGAAAGCGUGGGGAGCAAACAGGAUUAGAUACCCCUGUAGUC
rnacentral:rRNA from 1 species